GCCAGUGUGGCAUAGUGGUUUGAGCAUUGGAUUAGGAUGCUAGAAACCAGGGUUUGAAUCUCAGCUCAGCCA